rnacentral:rRNA from 1 species
UACGUAGGGGGCAAGCGUUGUCCGGAAUCAUUGGGCGUAAAGAGCGCGUAGGCGGUCCGGUAAGUCGGCUGUGAAAGUCAGGGGCUCAACCCCUGAAAGCCGGCCGAUACUGCCGGACUAGAGUCCGGAAGAGGAGAGUGGAAUUCCUGGUGUAGCGGUGAAAUGCGCAGAUAUCGGGAAGAACACCCGUGGCGAAGGCGGCUCUCUGGGACGGUACUGACGCUGAGACGCGAAAGCGUGGGGAGCGAACAGG